rnacentral:rRNA from 1 species
AUGCGUCGUAAGACUCUUGCUGGAGUGAACAUUGCCCGAACAAGUGCGGGCCUCUCGCUGCACAGGACCAGUGCAAGGCUCAAAGCUACUGGCAGAGCAAGGGUGGUGCCGGCGCCAGCGGCUAAGGCGGCUGAGAUCCUGGUUGCUCGUAGUCUGGGGAUCUUUAAGGACGGAGAAGACAUCACGGCCAAGGCCCUGGAUGCAUUUGCUGAGCGUUUCAAGGAGCAGCUGCCGCUGGAGGUGAUAUCUGCCAUGCGAGACUUGUUCAGGUUAGAUGAUGUGCAGGCAAUGGGUGUGGAGGACGCCCUCAUCCAGCACGGAGGGGAGGGUGCUAUGGACAUGGAGAGGAUGGAGGAUGCCGCUGCUGCUCUGCAGGCCUCCACCUGA